rnacentral:lncRNA from 1 species
AUGAGGUGGUUACUGCCCUGGACGCUGGUGGCAGUGGCAGCAGCAGCUGCAGCGGGCAGCACCUUGGCCACGGCCCUCCCUCCAGCUCCCACAGCCGCGGGCCCCACCCCGGCCCCGCGGGAGGACACCUCCUCACGGCCCCAGUUCUGCAAGUGGCCGUGCGAGUGCCCGGCGGCCCCGCCCCGCUGCCCGCUGGGCGUCAGCCUCGUCACGGACGGCUGCGAGUGCUGUAAGGCGUGUGCCCAACAGCUGGGGGACAACUGCACAGAGGCUGCGGUCUGCGACCCCCACCGGGGCCUCUACUGCGACUACAGUGGGGACCACCCGAGGUACGCAGUAGGAGUAUGUGCACGGAGCACAGGUGAGAUAGAGCCGUGGCACAAGAACUGCAUUGCGUACACCAGCCCCUGGAGCCCCUGUUCCACCAGCUGCGGCCUGGGGGUCUCCACCCGCGUCUCCAACGUCAAUGCCCGUUGCUGGCCUGAGCAGGAAAGCCGCCUCUGCAACCUGCGGCCGUGUGACGUGGACCUCCGGCCACACAUCAAGGAAGGGAAGAAGUGUCUGGCCGUGUACCAGCCAGAAGCGCCCGUGAACUUCACGCUGGCCGGCUGCACCAGCACACGCGCCUACCGGCCCAAGUACUGUGGGGUCUGCACCGACAGCCGGUGCUGUAUCCCCUACAAGUCCAAGACCAUCAGCAUCUCCUUCCAGUGUCCCGAUGGGCCCGACUUCUCCCGCCAGGCCCUGUGGAUUAACGCUUGCUUCUGCAAUCUGAGCUGUCAGAAUCCCAACGAUAUUUUUGCCGACUUGGACUCCUACCCAGACUUCUCAGAGAUUGCCAAUUAAGCAGCCACAGAACCUGGGCUCGAGGCCGACCCAGAGCUUAUAAAGCAGCCAGCCUUCUGAGGCCCCCACUGAGCCUUCUUUUGUCCACUUUCCACUCGUUUCCAAUGACCCAGAUCCAGGCCCAGGCCCGUGACCCCUUGUCCUGUCUCUGCCCACCCAAAGCACCCAUCAUGGCACGCUCAGGCCCAGACAGUGGGUCUUCUCCUUGGCAGCAGUCCACAUACGCUCCAAAGAAAGUGCCCGGCUCUGGACAAUACCCGAGCCCGAUCCGGCCUGUCUGAGUCCCUGGAAGUCCUGCUGGAUCUCGCCCAAGUCCCAAGGAACAGAAUCAGCUAGAUCUUCAGUAUCAUUAAUUCCUUCUUUAGAUACCAAACCACCAAACUCUCUGGGUCCAUUCAGAAGGAUAGAGGGGAUUUAGGACAGUGGAGCUGUCCAUUCUUCAGGCCAAGGAGGACCCUAAUUAGCAGUUCUGACCACUGCACACCAAAGCUGUGUCUCA